GCAGAACUGGAUAGCUCAGUUGCUUAGGGAGUGGUGCUGACGAUGCAAAGGUUGCAGGUUUGAUCCCUGCAUGGGACAGCUGCA